rnacentral:rRNA from 1 species
UAACACGUGGGUAACCUGCCUUAUAGUGGGGGAUAGCCUUUUGAAAGGAAGAUUAAUACCGCAUAAGAUUGUAGUAUCGCAUGAUAUAGCAAUUAAAGGAGCAAUCCGCUAUAAGAUGGACCCGCGUCGCAUUAGCUAGUUGGUGAGGUAAUGGCUCACCAAGGCGACGAUGCGUAGCCGACCUGAGAGGGUGAUCGGCCACAUUGGGACUGAGACACGGCCCAGACUCCUACGGGAGGCAGCAUG